rnacentral:tRNA from 1 species
AAAAAUUUAGUUAAAUUUAUAACAUUAGCUUGUCAAGCUAAAAUUAUUGACGCCAGUAAUUUUUA